rnacentral:rRNA from 1 species
UACGUAGGUGACCAGCGUUGUCCGGAUUUACUGGGCGUAAAGAGCGCGCAGGCGGUCGUUCAAGUCGAGUGUGAAAGCCCCCGGCUCAACUGGGGAGGGUCACUCGAUACUGAUCGACUUGAAGGCAGGAGAGGGAAGCGGAAUUCCCGGUGUAGUGGUGAAAUGCGUAGAUAUCGGGAGGAACACCAGUGGCGAAGGCGGCUUCCUGGCCUGUUCUUGACGCUGAGGCACGAAAGCUAGGGGAGCAAACGGG